rnacentral:misc_RNA from 1 species
GUGAAUCAUCGAAUUUUUGAACGCAAAUUGCACUCUCUGGUAUUCCGGAGAGUAUGCCUGUUUGAGGGUCAGUUUAAAUAAAAAUCGGUGUGGUCGCUGCCUUUCUUGGUGACGCGCCGGAUUUGGGCCGUCUUGCCUUCGGUUAAGUGACCUAGUAUUUUGCAUGACGUUUUCGAACGUAUGUAAUUUAUUUUACG